UUUUAUAACGCUUAUACUACCACAACUCAAGCUAAUCACACACCUUAUCCAUUUUAUUCAAAAUAUCUCCAUUGUUCUCAGUCCAAAUUCUAUUAAUGAUCUGUCUAGCUUCCUUAUCCUUCGCCCAACACACAUCGUAUUUAAAGAGAAAUCUAGGGUCUUUAAAGUUCUUACAAGGUUUGCUGCCCAUCAUGUCCAUUAAAAUAGCGUCAUGGUCCAAUUUGGAUUGUCUCACCACCUUGGUAACAAGGUACUGUUGGAACGCCAGCACCCCUACG
rnacentral:lncRNA from 1 species